rnacentral:rRNA from 1 species
AGCGAACGCUGGCGGCAGGCCUAACACAUGCAAGUCGAACGAAGUCUUCGGACUUAGUGGCGGACGGGUGAGUAACACGUGGGAACGCGCCUUUAGGUUCGGAAUAACUCAGGGAAACUUGUGCUAAUACCGAAUGUGCCCUUCGGGGGAAAGAUUUAUCGCCUUUAGAGCGGCCCGCGUCUGAUUAGCUAGUUGGUGAGGUAAGGGGUCACCAAGGCUACGAUCAGUAGCUGGUGUGAGAGGAUGACCAGCCACAUUGGGACUGAGACACGGCCCAAACUCCUACGGGAGGCAGGAGUGGGGAAUCUUGCGCAAUGGGGGCAACCAUGACGCAGCCAUACCGCGUGAGUGAUGAAGGUCGUCGGAUUGUAAAGCUCUUUCGGCGGGGACGACGAUGACGGUACCCGCAAAAGAAGUCACGGCUAACUUCGUGCCAGCAGCCGCGGUAAAAC